GACAAGGGUCAAUGUCUAACCCUCCACCAACAUGGUGGAUUUUAAACCCCCCAAAAAUGGAAUCUUGCUAAAAAAUUAUUCAAUCUACCAAUACAAAGAGCUUAAGAUAUUACAUGCCUAAUCGUUUGCAUAGAUCGUCCACGAGCUUACCUCUGGGAAUCUCAUAGUCAAUAGCUGCAACAACAUCCUUCAAUUUUACAACUCCUUCACUAAGUUCGCGUUCACCAACAAGUACCAUCCAAGGGAUCCUCGAAUCUCUGGCCCGAUCAAUGUGCUUCAUCACUUUUUUAUGGAUCAUGAAUUCUGCUUUCACUUUAGCAUUCCACAAUUCACCAGCUAGCUCAGCAGCCAAAGCACUGUCAUCACCAAGAAUGCUAACGAGAACUUGAGUUUCAGUGGCUCGAAUUUCCUGAUUUUUGUCUUUCUGAAGCUGUUCCAUGAUUGCAAAUACUCUCUCUAUUCCCAGACUGAUCCCAACAGAAGGAACCUGCCGUGUCCCAAACAUCCCUAUCAGGUUGUCAUAACGUCCACCAGCAGCAAUCGAACCAACCUGAGCAGCUCCUUUGAAGACUGCUUCAAAUAUGACUCCUGUGUAGUAAUCAAGGCCUCUUGCAAGGCUCAAGUCAAAAACCACUCUGUCAAUACACUUGGACUUCUCCAGAGCUUUAAACAUAAUCUCUAAUUCAUCCAAAGCAAGUGAAGAUUCAUUGUUCUCCAGAAAACUGCGUUCUUGCUUGAGCUUAGAUAAUAAUUCCACUGGAGGUCCCCUCCAUUUGACAAAUGUACCAAUUCUGUCUGAUAUCUCAUUACUUAAGCCUUUCUCAUCCACCAUUUCUUUUUUUAUCUGCUCAAAGGAUUGUUUAUCUAGCUUGUCAAUGCUUGAACAAAUGGUUCUGAACUUCUCUUGUGGCACCCCACAUAUAGCCAACAUACCAUCAAGCAGCUUUCUGUGAUUAAGCUUUACCUCAUACUCUCCAAUAUCAAGCUCAUCUAACAACUCGGUCAAAAUCUUUAUGACCUCAAAAUCAGGCAUCAUCUUCUCAAAUUGACCAGCUAUGUCAAAAUCACACUGGUAAAAUUCACGAUAUCUACCCUUAGAUGGAUUAUCUCUUCUGUACACCUUAGCU
rnacentral:misc_RNA from 1 species